ACGAAUCACAGCAGAGCAGGAAGAAGGAGCGGAGCAAAGUGUGUGUGCAGGAGAGGAGUCGAGCAAAUAGAGCUCCUUUUUCAUGAAACGGGAGUAAAGUAGUGAACUUAGAGAAGAGAAACAAACUGAAGUAUCGAUGAUAAACCACUACCAACGUCUGGAUCGAUAUCUGCAUCGAUCUGCCCACCCUUGUCUCCUGGAUCGUAGCUGAGAUCAGCGUGAACCCUGAUCUGUUUCCUGUUCCAGCUUCAUCACGGAGUUUCUCUCGGUUUGUGGGCUCAUCUAAAGCUGAUCAUCAGGAGGAGACGAGCCAUUUAGACUCAGCUCAGCCACUACAGAGGAAACAAUGACUUCAACCCAAAAGGACCAACAUGGAGCGAGAAGUCAGCGCUCUCAGGAGGCCGACAAA